UUUCCGUAGGUGAACCAGCGGAGGGAUCAUUACCGAGUGAAGGCCCAAAGGGCACUACCACCCACCCGUGUUUAGCGUACCUUGUUGCUUCGGCGGGCCCGCCUCACGGCCGCCGGGGGGCACCCGCCCCCGGGCCCGCGCCCGCCGAAGACACCAUUGAACGCUGUAUGGAGAUUGCAGUCUGGGCAUCUUAGCAAAACCAGUUAAAACUUUCAACAACGGAUCUCUUGGUUCCGGCGUCGAUGAAGAACGCAGC
rnacentral:misc_RNA from 1 species